rnacentral:misc_RNA from 1 species
GAGAUUACCCUCAUCAGUCAUCAAGAUCAAAAUCGAAUGAUGGUAUUUAAUUUGUCUGAAAGGAAAUUAAUUAACCACAGAAUGGAUAUUCGGAGAUGACGCUUUGUAAUAGACCACCAUAAACACGGUAUUAUUAAAUCAAUUCAUUAAUUUACAACAUCCGGAUUGUACUAGCGUGUUUCAUUUUAAUGAAAAAUUCUUACUGAUUUUAUUGCUGCGUUUUUUUGCUGUAAUCUUUGAUUUAUUACUUGGAAUCAAUUAGAGUUAUGGUACUUAUAGUUUAUAAUUAUUU